rnacentral:miRNA from 1 species
CAUUCUUUUUAUGGCUGAGUAAUAUUCCAUUGUGUGUGUGUGUAUAUAUAUAUACACACACACACACACACACACACACACACACACACACACAC